UGGACAGGGGGUGGCAGCCAUCUGUGAGACAAGUUGGAGCCCCUUCAGCAGCAAGAGGAGCUGUCAGGAACGCUGCUUGAUUUGCAGCUUGAGGGUUUAUAAGGAGGAGAGGGCCAUUGAUAUCUUGACCUGCUCUGUCCUGCACCAUGCCUGGCUCCAAAGUGUACGGACGUGCUGUGACGUGAAGAAUGAGGUGUGAUUUCUGAGCUCACAAAGCUGGGAGCUCUCAGAGAAUUGGAGCUGGAUCUCCAUGCAAAAUUAACUGGGAACAAAGAAGAACAGGAUAAGAUCACAGUUAACCCUCCCAUUAAAACCACCCAUCUUUGCCUUGGUCAUAAAUCUUCAUGUGUCAACCUAAUCUUUGAUCAUAUUCGCAGCAAGAAGCUGUGGUGCUACAAAGAGCCCUUCUCAGUCACUUAAGGAACAAGAAGUGAGUGUUGUUGAACUUGUGUAUUUAGGUAAAUUCCUAUCUCUGUGUCAAGAAACUUGUUCAUGUAUCAGUAAGGAAAGGUGGGGAAAGGAAGGUAGGACAAAAACUUAACACAGCUACACAGAAGGUGAAAUGUCAGCAUUACACCUCCUUCAGGGGAGGGUGAAUCAGAAAUGUUUGCCUUCCAUACAUCCUUGCUUUGAAGUGGUUCAUUUUGGCUUGAUUUGACUGCACAGGAGACAUUGCAAACCAGCCUUUGUGCUGAUACUGUCAGCCCUCGGGUAGGUGAGGAAUCUGGUGUAGACAGGCACCACAGCACUGCCUAAAACGUGCUGGAAAACAUCAGUCAUGGGGAUUACACAAUGUAUUUCACUGCUGUUUACAUGCAGAAAUCUCACCAUCGGGGUUAAUCUUGUAGAAGCAAGUACAAUUAGGUGAUAUUUUGUAUGUAUGAUAAAACCUGAGCCACAGGGCUCUGUGCCAGGCUCCAUUCUCAUAAAUGUGUAAAUCCAGAGCAACUCCCCUAACUUCAGUGGAGAUUACAUCAAAGCUGAGCUCGAAUUCUUGUUUUAGGUUCUCACUGCCUGCACACAGCCUACAACAUUGCCUAAACUGAUCCCUGGCUGCCUCAUUUCUGGCACCUUAAAGGAACAGUUAACAAAUAUGUACAUAUAUAUGAGGGGUUGUAUUAUUAAUAUUAUUACUGUUAUUAUUAUUAUUAUUAUUACUACUACUACUACUACUUAUAUACUCAUAUAUAUGUAGUCUGAAUUAUUAUUAGCUGUGCUGGAAAUAGAAGUCUAGCACCAAGAAUUUUCUAGUAUGAAUUUUGCAUUUUAAUAAGUUCAUGUGCACCUAUGUGACAUUCACACAGCCAGCAAAAUUUAUAGAUGCAUUAGUCCAGAAGAAAGGGAGGAGAAAUGAAACUUUAUCAGAACAACAGAGAGGAAGAUAACGUGGCAAUUUCAAGGUCAAUAUUCCAAACUUAGAGCCCUGACAAGAAAUACUCAGGAUGACUACACUGGAGAAAAUAAUCAAGUGUUUUAUAUUGUGUUUUGGAUCUUUGACAGAACUUUUAAGUCAGUUUUCCCAUUUCCUAUAGGAACUUUAAUGAGGAUAUCCUGUGGCUUGUGUAGGCCAGUUCCACAGAAAGAACUUACAGAGAAACUAUUUUUAGUCGAAUUUCCUACAGAUAUCUGGCUGUUGACAUGAUUAUAGAGCCUAGAGAUCCAUUUGUCUUUCUCCUUGUCCUACUCAGUGAUUUUUAGCCAGUUGCAACCGUAUCAAAAGAGAGUUGUAGAAUCCUUAAAUUAAUUACAUUCUUACAGGUUUUGUAAUCUUUUGGGUCUGGGUGGAGAGAAGAGACCUAAGAUAGUACUUUUGCUAUGAGCUCUGAAAACUACUACAAGAUGUUAAAGGAAGAUACCCAGGAGAAGGGAAGUUGAAAUGUUCCAGCCAUAGGAAAUGGUUCCAUCAGAACUCACAUUGUAUGAGAUGCAGAAUGUCAACAGUCACUAAGGCUUGAGUAAUCAGAGCUCAUUGGAAUCUCCUGCUCAGGGAACUGCCUGCUAAAACAAUGAGAAACAUGAUGCUUCCACUGCAUGAUAAGGUGUAGAAGGAUAAAAUCUGAAUGCAGUUUUAAGACAUUAGUCUAGUUUUCUGAUAAAUCACUAGUAAUUUUUUAAUUGCCUGUGACCCUUUAAUAGCUACUUUAAAAAUCUGUUCUAAAAUGAUGUCACCAACUUGUUUCUAUGUGUGGAAUUCUUUAGGAGACUUUAAAAACAAAAUUUUGUGGCAAAUGGUAGAACCUUGCAUAGAAGAUUUGUUGCCUUUGGGUUUUAAUCUGGAGCUUUCCAAGAGCCUUGAAGACAAAAUUUUUACUUAAAUAUGAUUUCUGUACUCCACAUUCACCUUAGCAGAUACAACUCACAUCCCUGGAUGGGGUGAGUCCUGGGAACUUAACCACUCUAUGUGGAAUCUCCCUGUGCCCCUUGCAUCCUCCACCAGGGCUCAGCAUUCAUUUAAGAUGAAAAGAACAGGCUAGAACUAAAGAUUUGGAAGAAACUAUUGAAAAUAGAGAACUCAGAUCUUGAGUUUGCAGCUGUCUGGACAGUGGACGGGAAAUAAAAGCUCCAAUUUCGUGCCUCCUUGCAGCUGUUAACUGUAAAGUUUAAAGCUGACAUAUUAGGCACCAAAGACAAACAAAUCAUGUGCAUGUAAUUUAUUAUCCCACAAAAUAAAGUUGGAGUUCCUGUAGCGCAUCUUCAGAUGGGAAAAACCACACCAAAACCUUUAUUUUUAAAAUGCCAACAAGUCUCACAGAGAAUGUGUAUCCAAGUGUCACAGAUGGCAAGCACCACGCUGUAAAGUAUGCAAAAGUACAAAUUCAUCCACUGAAUCUUCCAUGAGGGGGUACUGUGCUCAUACUUGGAAAAGAAAUGUUCAAUUAAUUCCCAGGAAGUCAAACUUUCUAAACUAUACAACUAUUGAUACAAGUUUAAUGUUUCCAGUCAAUACUGAUAUGCUUUCUUAGCUGCUGAAAGAGACCCUUUCACUUGGCUUAGCUGCACUUCCAGAGACCUCUCCUUUCCCAGGGGACACGCUGUGCCCCCAUCCCUAAUGGCUGCAAUCACAGAGUGGACGUUUCUGUAAGGCCUUUCACGGCACGGCACGCUGCUUUACAGACGUGCUUUCUGCCCGUGCUGAGACCCCGUGGAGAAAGGGGGAAAGGUGGUUCCUUUGAAAACAAACACAAAAACAAGCAAGCAAAUAAAAUGUCUUUUGACAUCUCCCUGUGCCUGCGCUGUGUGGUGUGGGCAGCACCACAGCUGAGUUGGCUAAACCAGCCAUGCAGCGAGCUGAACCCAUUGCUUUCCUACCAGCCUUCCCAGCGGUGGCAAGGAGCCAAAGCCUGUGCCUUAUCUCUUGGACCCUGCCUUCCACAACCACAGCGGAUGGUGAAGUUACCAUUUCCCAAAAAACAUCUCUCCCUGCCAUCCUCGCCCAGGGGCUCCCGGGGCUGCAGAGCCUCCCAGUGCAUGGUGACCUCUCCUGCACCCACCUCUGCUGAGGUGCCAAUUCCGAGCUUCUUUAAGCUGCCCCAGUGGCAGAACACACAGAGCUCAGGCUCCCAGGCAGUGCCAAACACUGCCCAUGGAGCAGGGAACAGCAGCAGCCUCUCGUGUGGUUGGCUGCGGUGUUACUCAUUAUUCCAGCCGGAUGCAUAGCUGGAGUUACAAUGAUUUCUACCAGCUUGAGAAUAAAACCCUAAAUGUGCAAUUUCCUGCCCUAAAGGCCUUGAAUUUCAACUAUAUUUCAAAUGUGGGCCUCUCAUUUACCUGAAAAAGAAUAAAUGCCUAAAUCUCACUCAGGUACUGGUUUUAGAUUCUUCUCAUCACUUUCCCAACAAUUCUUCUUAGCCGGAAAAUUUAACAAAAGCAGGUUUAUUCAAUUCCAUGCACAUAAGCCAAGUAAAACUGGAACUGAAGGGCAGCAGUAGAAGAACUGGGGUCUGGAAGGCAAAGGCCUAAUUAGCUGUGGUGUGUUAGAAAAUCUGAUAACAAAUACAAAGCAAAAGGCGUUUUAGAUGAUCUGCACUGACAAGGAAGACUCCUGUUGUUUCUUAACCGAGAAAAAUGGUAAUAAACCUCCUUGUGUGCCGAGUUCGUUAGGGCUGGAAUGCAUUGUGACUAAGGAAAAUAAAAGCAGCUCUGACACUUUUAAGUGAUGAGAGCUUUUUUAAUGAGACUAGCUGGCCUGACUUUCAAAUGUUCAAUGGACUUCUCUGAAUUGAAUGAAAGUGGCUUCAUAAUUGUAAUGAUAUUGCAAAAUAAAUGCAGGCUAAGU